rnacentral:lncRNA from 1 species
UUUUCCAUGUUUAAAGUCCAACUAAGUCUAUAAGAGCAGCUGUCAUCAAUUUCAAAGUUAGUGAAGUUAACUAGAUUUUUGGAAUGGAGAAGAAACUGAGGAACUCUACAUUAGUAAAAAAGAUGAUUGAUUUGGGCCUCGUCAAAGCUUCAUUGUCUUAGGCAAAUCAUGUCACUUGUAUAAUUGCUUAGAUGGAAAAAUGUUGCCCGACUGAAAGGUCAAGUGAAACAAUCAAUAGUUGAGGAGUUCAUAGGAAAAACUAUAGGUCAUGUAACUAAAAUCAAGUAUCUUUGAUAGACAUUUUCAUAUGUGACAUUGAACUUUGUUUUUUAUAUUUCUAAUUCUGUAGCUGGUACAUCCCAAGUUAUGAGCCAGAUUGUUAACCCUAUUGAAAUUUUUUUCUCAGAUUGUAACAUUUAUUCUCUAGGAUUGAUGAUGCACUGUUUGUCUCCUAGAGAAAAGAGAAGAGAGCUAAUGUGUUGAUAAGGUGAACCACCUCAGACCCAUGGUGUCCACAGAACAAUGACAAAGAAGUCGAAAUGUGUUAGGAAUCUAAAAAGACAACCCUAAUGUAUUAUUCCAGAGUUGGUCUUCACUUGAAAAUAUAGUUGGAAAAGAACCACAAUUUCCUCUCAAAUCCUUUGCCAAGAGACCUUAAGUGCUCUGCCACAUCCACACAAAUUCCAUCUCAAAUAACCUAUCAAAGUCAUGGCACGUCUCUAAAACCCACAGGUUGUGGUGUCUGGAUGUACCUUGUGUCUUAGUUUGCCACCUAAAAGAACUGAUGGACACCAUGUUGAGAUUAAUGAGGAUCACUCAUGCUCCAGAUAUUUGGAUUGCUUCUCUGACCUCCAGUUCUAGUUAGCAAGAUAUAAAUUUCUCAUGAUUGUUAUUGGUGAAACAAAUGGCUUUAGUUUAAGAUGUUUUAGAUCUGAUAGCAGUACAUUCGAAGUAAUCUGUUAAUGAGUUUUUAACUUAUGUCCUUAACAUGUGAUAUUUGAGCCUAGCAUGCAUAGGUAGCUCUUUGGAACUACUAGUUUAUUAUUGGCACAUGUAGCACCUUCAAUUUUUCCAAAGUGUUGCUUUAUGUGAAAGAAAUGUGAACAGCCUAUGGAUAAUUUUUGUGCCUGAUUGGUUUGUUUGCACUUCAACUUCCUUCUUUGUGAACAACCACAAAGAUUGUAUAUUUUGAGCAUCUUCUUGAGGAUGUUAUAAACUAAUGGGAUGAGACAAUUGCCUCUCAUAAUUGUGCUAGGACAUGACCCAGGAUCAACUUCUGUAUUGAAUCAUCAUCAUGUGUGUAUAUAUAUAUAUAUAUAUAUAUAUAUAUAUAUAUAUAUAUAUAUAUAUAUAUAUAUAUAUAAUUAUACACACACACACCUCAUGGGAAUGUUCUAUGGCUUCUGGCCUUUUCUUAUAUCCUUGUUGAGAUACUAUCUCAGAUAUUGUGUGGAUGCAUUGUACCAGUUGAUGUCAGACUUUAUUUGACACCAAUAGUUCUUCUAGAAGCAAACUUGGUUUCAUUCUCACCCAUUGUUGAGGGCAUCAGGGACAGCUGUUGGCCAUGUCACAAUUAUUGGGCAGGCAUUUUAAUAGGCUGGACCCACUUCCAAUGCUUAUCUUUCAAGAAGAUAAAUCUGCUUUCUGUGAUGUUGUUUGUUCUUAGUGACUUACUACCCUUAAGAUGAAAGAAAAAGAAAAUAAUAGGACUUUGCUUUCUGUGGCUUUGAUUCCAGGAUUUUUGUCUUGUACUCCUAAUGUCAAUAGUAUGGUCCCAAAUCUGACAUCAUAGCUUUUUGUGACUGAAUUUUUUAUUUAAUUAUUAUGUAACAUUUUGUAUUAGAUGCUUGCAGGACUCAAACUUUUUACCUAUUCAUUACAUGCAUCAAACAUCUCUCUUUAUAGGCUGUAUAGGUUGUUUUUCUUUUUUCUCAGUUUUUUUUUUAAUUUUGAAUUCUUAGCUUAUUUAGUUCCAGAUCUCUAGAAGAAUCAAAAAAUGAGUUUCUCAUAUAUAUAUAUAUAUAUAUAUAUAUAUAUAUAUAUAUAUAUAUAUCUAUAUACUACUACUAAUAAUNNNNNNNNNNNNNNNNNNNNUAUUGAUAUAAUAUUUUUUAUUUUUUAAAAAUAUAGAAUGAAUAAUUCCUGUGAACGAUAAAGGCUGGUAAAUGCAUUGCAUGAAUAGAUAGAUGUGGAAAGCAGAUUUUUUUGGUCUGAGCUCAGGGCUUUGCUUUGGACCCAAGUAACGUGCCGUGCAAACCGGGGUGGGGUCCAAUCUGCGGUGCUGUAUACUUCAACAUGUGUUUGACCAAAACUACCCUUGUCAUCGUCACGAUUUACGUCUUUUGUGGGGAGUGAGAAAAGAUGUCCGGAUGCUUUUUCUUGAGUACCAAACAAUCUUUCCUCCUCCCUCAUAACUCUGAGAUUAGGAAGUCAUUCAAUGCUGAUUUGAUCACCGUGUCUUCCAAGUCAGGGCCGGGAAGCCUAAUAGGACCACGGCAUCCUUUUGCUGACGUCAUUUGGAAUUAGAAAAUAUACAAAUAAGAUUGAGAUGGUAAUUUCGAAAUAAAAAUUAAGAGAAGCCAAUUAUUCACCAUAAGAAAGACUCGCCUUCCAUCAAAUGGGGGAGAUUUAGGUGGCCAUCCCCUCAUGACAUUUCACCAUCAAUACCACAUGUGCAUGGCAAAGAAAACAAGUGUUCUAGAUGAAGGUAGAAGGCUCUUAGUCGGUCUCCCUUGCAAUAGGACAAGCGCAUCAAUAGCACAUCUAGAAGCCCAUGACUUUGCAUCCACCUCUCCCACCACACACACACACACAAAAAGCUUAGAAAGGAAAGGUGACGGGAAAAGGACCCCAAAUGACUCCUGCAUUAAAACCUGACCUUGUCUUGCUCAAGACACAAGCACAUGCCCUCCCUCCCUCCUCACCAUUUACACCAUCCUCAUCCUCAUCUCUCUCUCUCUCUCCGCGUCUCUUGCCAUGAUAGCUCACCGACAACGACGAGAGUUCUCCACCGGAGACCAGUUCAGUUUUGCGAAUCCAACCCACGGCGCAAGCGACGGACAGACGAUGGAGCGUGCCACGGUUGCAGCAGGAACCAAAGCCGAGCUCGGCCCAUGGACUCGGAGAGCUUCCUUGAACCUCUCCGGUUACAGCCAGCGCGACGGCGACGAAGAUUUCCGAUGGCUGCCCAAGGAGGAUGGCGAUGACUCCGGCACUCCCUCGCCGCCGUUGUGGAAGAACGUGGGCCUCCCGGCGACUCGGUCUGCCGACAAUUCCCCGGCGCACAAGCACCACCACGGUAUGCAGGCGUUUCCGACGUCACGAGCUGAGGAGAUCGCCAGGUACCGGCAGGAGAUGUUGGACUUGGUGAGGGACAUGCCGGAGCCCGCGUACGAGCUCUCGCUAAGGGACAUGGUGGAGGCGCCGAGGGUGGCGAAGACGGUGCAGGAGAUGAUAGAGAAGAGGAGGACAGAAUCGAAGGAUCGAAGUAAAGAGAAGAGAAGGCUGUUGAGGAAGGAGAGCAUCGAGACCGGGGUGUUCCUUAAGAUGUUCGUGCCGAUUUCCAUAAGAGGAGGGAGAAGGAAGAGCUUUGGGGGUUCUAAUACUUGCUCAAAGGUUUCACCGAGGCCCGUCUUGGCGGAAGCAGAGAAGGGUGGGCUUGAGGUCACGGAGGGAGAGUGGUGGGAGAAGGAGUUGGGUGGCAGAGGAAGCAGCAGCAGCAGCAGUAGCAGCUCCAAAAGCAGCAGCAGUAGCUGCUCCAAAAGUAGCAGCGGAAGCAGCACAAGUAGAAGCGGUAGCAGGUGAAACUUCUUCUUUCUCAUCUGCAACUACAUAAUGAAGAAGAUUCCAUGAUUGUAACAUAAUGGUUUGAUGUUGCAGGAAGAUGAACGGCUGCUACGCUUUCUUCCUCACAAAUAAAAGCAGCUCCAAGGAAAUUUAGGGAUGCCAAGUAUUUUGUUUUGCUGAUCACUGGAAGAAGAGAAUGCAGCAUGGCAUGUACAGUGGUUUCGACUUGUGCUUUGAUCUCAUAUGUUUUUAAAUCUAGUUUAUGAGAGGCUGAAAAUUAUGGUUUUAAUUGUGGGGUAGAUUUCCAUCCAUGACAAGAAUUUUGAAGUUGAUUGGUAAGAGAAACAAGAUCGAAACUUGUGUUGUUUGUGGAAGACGAAGAACAGGACAUACGGUCGACCUCUCUGUUCUCCCUUCACUUUAUUUGUUGUGUAGUAAUGUACAAAUCAAAUCAGUCUCCAUAUAUAUAUAUAUAUAUAUAUAUAUAUAUAUCGGUGUAAUAAAAAUAGUAAUAUAUAUUUUAAUAUUAAAAUAUCAAAUAAGGAGAAGAGAAUUAAUUGGUAAGGAAUCACAUAAUCCACGUGGCAAUCGCAGACCUCCCAUGCACGUACGCGAGUGUCGUCACCCCCUCUUCCAAAUGAACCCUAUUCGGAAUUCCUUCACAUAUUGGCUUAAUUUUGAGUUGAGUUGAAACCAAAAAAGAUGUUUACAAAAUUAAAUCAAGGUUGAAAUGAAAAAUUAUUUUAUUUUUAUUCAAAAAUAUUUAGAAAUUAAACAUCAUGUAAAUACAAUCCAUGAGUAAUGGAAUUUUUCUUGUGUAAAAAAAAUCAGAAAAUAAAAAGGAAAAAUAUUCACUCAUUUCAUAUUUAAAUAUAAAACAAAAGAAAUGUUUACGUUAUGCUUUGAGAUUCGCGCAGAUAGCCAGGGAGGAAGGGGAAGGGGACGGGGGAAGUGAGGUGACGGCACCGGGGAGUAACGGUAUCUGUCUGUGGCUGUUGAGAUUUCAUCGCGCGUUCCUAACGAUAACGACGACGACGACGACGCGCUUCCUCCUCCUCGAAACCCCACCAUCCAAAACCUACGACUCCAUCUUCUCCCGUCGAUCGCUCUUCGGAUUCGCCGUUUGAUCGACGCAGAAUCCGUCACCUUCCAUCGAUCUCGCGCGCUUCGCUGCCGCCGAGCGCUGGGAACCGCCGGGUCGCGAGGUUUUAGGGUUGGAUACGAGAGGAGCGGCGGCGGAUGAGCGGUUGCCGCGGCGGCGAGAGGGGCGGAGGAGAGCCGGAAGGAUGGCACAGCCAGAAUUGGCUCCCCGAGGGAGCUGGGUGGCGUCGGCUUACAGGGGCAUGUCCGCCGACAAUAUCAAGGGCCUGGUGCUUGCCCUCUCCUCGAGCGCCUUCAUCGGCGCCAGCUUCAUCAUCAAGAAGAAGGGCCUAAAGAAGGCUGCGGCCUCCGGGAUUAGGGCUGGUGAGGAGAACUUCGCUUCUUGAUUAGGUUUCUGUCCCUUUCUCUGUGUUGGCAUCACUUUCUUGAUACUCUUGCUGAUCUGCUGAUGAGACCCUCUUUUUGUACUUCUUUUGGUAAAUUUUUUGUCACCAUUGACGAAAAAAUUCCUCCUUUAUCGAAGUUGGAUGGAAAAAACAGAAAACCCGACCAAAUCAUCCCGAUCGAUGAAACAACAUCACCCGCAAUAGUUUACUAGUAGAAUAAUGCUAGUCACCAAUGCAGCUUGAUGUCUAAAUACCGUACAUUAUGUGGGUACUUGAUUUCAUCCGAGAUCUUAAUUGGUUUCAUCUGAUUACAGGGGUCGGAGGUUAUUCUUACUUAUACGAGCCACUUUGGUGGAUUGGCAUGAUCACAAGUAAGAUUGCUUUUUCAUUCCAUUAGCAUGGUAUCUACUAUCUUUAUUAGUCCACGAGCUAUUUGUGUCGUUGUCAUCAAGAGAUCUUGUGCUGUGCAUUAUUGAUUACCGCCUAGCUGCUUUGUGCUGGACCUGAGCCCAAGCAUGUACCAAGGGUUGGUAAAUGGUCUCACACUAAGCUUGCUGAAAUGGACCAUGCAGACCUUCGUGGCCAUCAUCGUUUAACAUUUCAUUGACCCUAAGAGCAGCUUGCUUUUGGUCAUAUACUAACAUUCAAUCAUUUGUAUCCUGAUGCACUUCAAUUUAUUGCUUGAGAUUUUAAUUAAUGUUUGAACUCUGUUAACUAUCUUAUUAAGAUGGCAAAGGUUCAAAAGAAAUGCUUUUGGUGGUAUACAUUCUUUCUCCAGAUGUGCUCAUUUACAACAAAUGGAAUACUGCUUGUACUAGACAAACCUUAGGUAGCAUCACUAAGAUGCAAUUGCGAAUGAAAUAUCUCCUUGUGGAUCAUGUGGAAAGAGUAUGGGAAGUCAACGGCGUUUUUGACAAGUGUUUUGCAACGUUUGUUCGAUGAUUUGACAACUCGUAUUUCUUAGCCAUUAGUUGAUCAUAUCCUAGUAUGUUGCGCAGACAUAUUUAUUGCUGCAUGAAUUACUUGUCUACUUAUUGCAUUGGUAUCCAACCACCAGUGAAUUCUAACAUAUUUUGAGCUGAUGAUUAGUGAUUGUCGGUGAAGCUGCCAAUUUUGCUGCUUACGCAUUUGCUCCGGCCAUUCUUGUGACUCCUCUUGGUGCACUUAGCAUAAUAAUCAGGUGUUACUGUGAGUUCCAUGUCAUUUAUUUAUGAAAAAUAUUCACAUUUUAUUGCAAUGACCAUUUUUAUUUUUCAGUGCGGCAUUAGCACAUAUUAUACUACGGGAAAGGCUGAAUAUUUUGGGUAUUGUUGGCUGUGUUCUUUGUGUUGUGGGAUCAACGACAAUUGUUCUCCAUGCUCCACAGGAGAGGGAAAUCGAAUCCGUGAAGGAAGUGUGGAAUCUUGCUACCGAACCAGGUCUUUGUAUAUUAUUGUGAGGGAUAGCUAUCUGCCUUGAGUUGCUUUUGCUUUUACCUGGCAGUUCUUUAUGAUACUCGUCACUUUGGUUUCAAUUUGAAGUCUAAUAAAUGUUUGAAGUAUUACUGAGGCUCAUUUGCAUGUUCUUUGCAGCCUUCCUCUGCUAUGCGACUAUCGUGGGUGCAGUUAUUUUGGUGCUCAUUUUUUGUUAUAUCCCUCGGUAUGGGCAGACAAAUAUAAUGUUUUAUGUUGGUGUCUGUUCCCUAGUUGGUUCUUUAUCGGUAAUGACUUGUCCCUACAUAAUUAGUUUCAUGUUUUUCUUGAGCUUUUAUGAUGUUCACUUUUAUUAAAUCUCCAAUUGGACAGGUCAUGAGUGUCAAAGCUCUUGGGAUUGCUCUAAAAUUAACAUUUUCAGGAAUGAAUCAAUUGGUAUACCCACAAACUUGGGCUUUCACCAUUGUGGUACUUAUUUGUGUGGUUACACAAAUGAACUAUCUAAAUAAGGUACCAAGAUUUGAUGAGUUUCAUUAUGAAUUUCCCCUUUUAUCAAUAUCUUAAAUAUAAUGUGUUAUAUAUGUCUAUGUAGUCCAUUUUCUGCAUGAUUCCAACAUUUUGGACACACUAACAAGUACUUGAUGUAUCAAUUUCAUACUUCUGCCAAAGAAAGCCCAUGCUGUGGAAAAGUAGACAGAAGUUUGGAAAGAAAUAAACAUUGAAAAGAUGACUGGGAUGUUCCAGAUAUUCUGAUUAAAUGGUCUAGUGACGGUUGGUUCAUGAACUUAAUUUUAGCUGGGGGACUACUGUUAAUUUUGACCAAGUUCUUGAGGUUCUUAGUUCAAAUUGUAAAGGCACACAAGUUGCCAACAACUGUCAGUCUUCUAUUCUUUUGUUGGCUUGAAGGUAACAUCUAGCGAUAGUUAGAGAAAAUGAUGUAGUGCUUGAAGUCUCCGCUUGUGCAAGUGUCCUCAUUGUGCACUAUUUUGCAUCCUUCUCUUCUCUUUCCUAUUUAUAUUUUAUAUUUUUCUUUCUUUAUUUGGUCCUAUUGCUUCACCUAUCAAUGGCCUACAGCUACAGCUGAUAAGGAGUCCUGUCAUAUUCAUUACUAAAUAUGUCAAAGCAUUUAUUGCUAUAGUGUUUCUCUAUAAAACAGACGGUUCUUUUAAAGAUAACUUUUGUUCUUUUACUUUGUCUAACAAUAGCUUGGAUCAUGUUUCUUAUGAUUUAGAUUAUUUUUAGGCUUUAUGUUCUUUAUAUUGUAUGCUUUUUGAAACAAAAUGAUCUGAUAUCCAUUGUCUGCAAUCUAUCUCACAAUAAUGUCUUUGGCAACUGUAUUUGUUUUUAUAUUAGCUUAGUUUUAUAAAAAAAAAAGGAAAGAUGGUCAAUUUCUUGAUAAUGCCUAUUAAUUUGUUAUAACUAUGGUUGGACUAUAAUCACAUUAACAUAUUCAUAAUGUAUGCUUUUUGAAACAAAGUGAUCUGAUAUCCAUUGUCUGCAAUCUGUCUCACAAUAAUGUCUUUGGCAACUGUUUUUUUUUUUNNNNNNNNNNNNNNNNNNNNNNNNNNNNNNNNNNNNNNNNNNNNNNNNNNNNNNNNNNNNNNNNNNNNNNNNNNNNNNNNNNNNNNNNNNNNNNNNNNNNNNNNNNNNNNNNNNNNNNNNNNNNNNNNNNNNNNNNNNNNNNNNNNNNNNNNNNNNNNNNNNNNNNNNNNNNNNNNNNNNNNNNNNNNNNNNNNNNNNNNNNNNNNNNNNNNNNNNNNNNNNNNNNNNNNNNNNNNNNNNNNNNNNNNNNNNNNNNNNNNNNNNNNNNNNNNNNNNNNNNNNNNNNNNNNNNNNNNNNNNNNNNNNNNNNNNNNNNNNNNNNNNNNNNNNNNNNNNNNNNNNNNNNNNNNNNNNNNNNNNNNNNNNNNNNNNNNNNNNNNNNNNNNNNNNNNNNNNNNNNNNNNNNNNNNNNNNNNNNNNNNNNNNNNNNNNNNNNNNNNNNNNNNNNNNNNNNNNNNNNNNNNNNNNNNNNNNNNNNNNNNNNNNNNNNNNNNNNNNNNNNNNNNNNNNNNNNNNNNNNNNNNNNNNNNNNNNNNNNNNNNNNNNNNNNNNNNNNNNNNNNAAUGUUUGUAAAUCAAUUACUUAUUUACACCUUUUUAAACUUGUUUGGAAAUUGCAAUUGAAUAUAAACGUAGUGAAGUACAGCAUAUUCAUAAUGUAUGCUUUUUGAAACAAAGUGAUCUGAUAUCCAUUGUCUGCAAUCUGUCUCACAAUAAUGUCUUUGGCAACUGUUUUUUUUUUUUAUAUCAGCUUAGUUUUAUAAAAAAAGAGAGGGAAAGAUGGUCAAUUUCUUGAUAAUGGCUAUUAAUUUGUUAUAACUAUGGUUGGACUAUGAUCACAUUAGCAUAUUCAUAAUGGAUGGUUUUGAAACAAAGUGAUCUGAUAUCCAUUGUCUGCAAUCUGUCUCACAAUAAUGUCUUUGGCAACUGUAUUUUUUUUUUUAUAUCAGCUUAGUUUUAUAAAAAAAAAAAGAAGGGAAAGAUGGUCAAUUUCUUGAUAAUGCCUAUUAAUUUGUUAUAACUAUGGUUGGACAAUGAUCACAUUAGCAUAUUCAUAAUGUAUGCUUUUGAAACAAAGUGAUCUGAUAUCCAUUGUCUGCAAUCUGUCUCACAAUAAUGUCUUUGGCAACUGUAUUUUUUUUUUUAUAUUAGCUUACUUUUAUAUAAAAAAGGGGAAAGAUGGUCAAUUUCUUGAUAAUGCCUAUUAAGAAUUUGUUAUAACUAUGGUUGGACAAUGAUCACAUUAGCAUAUUCAUAAUGUAUGCUUUUUGAAACAAAGUGAUCUGAUAUCCAUUGUCUGCAAUCUGUCUCACAAUAAUGUCUUUGGCAACUGUAUUUGUUUUUAUAUCAGCUUAGUUUUAUUUAAAAAAAAAAGGGAAAAGAUGGCCAAUUUAUUGAUAAUGCCUAUUAAUUUGUUAUAACUAUGGUUGGACUAUGAUCACAUUAGCAUAUAUGCCUUGGAAACAACUAUACUGAUGCUUAAGAUUUUAUUACCCCUCCAAACUGCUGCAUAUCUAAAUCAGACAUGUACGGAAUUAAUCUAAGUUCGAGUAAGUCACCAACUUGGUAAGCUGGGUUUCGAAAUAAAUUGGAUUUGUGGGUGCCAUACGCGCGGGCCAAUAACCCUUUUUAACUGUCUGUCUUUUAACUGUAGGCACUGGAUACGUUUAAGACGGCAGUUGUAUCACCAAUUUACUAUGUGAUGUUUACAUCGUUGACCAUUUUGGCUAGCACGAUCAUGUUCAAGGUAAUGCUUGCACUUGUUCUGUUAACUUCAUUUAUUUUCAUUAGAAGAAUGAUAAUAUUGGACGUCAUAAUGCAAAAUAGUAUGCUACACAGCUUUAGUUUUCCUUCAUUUGUUCCUCCCAUUGGCUUAUUUUACCAUGCUUUAGAUUUUUCAUUAUCGUAUCAAAACAACUUACAAGUAUAUCUGAAUGGUUAUCCUUUGUUUCUUGUUGUUGAUUUAUUUGAGAUGCUCUUCUUUUGCCUUUGGAUCUUCAUAUCAUUUCUUCUUAAGUACGCACUAGCAGAUGGAAUAACCCAUAAGCAUAGAAUUUGAGUCUAAUUAUGAUAACUAAAUGAUGUUUUCUAGAUUUGAAUACUGCUACUAAGCUUCCGGAGGUAGUGAAUGUUGUACGUCUGUCUCUAUUUCCUCCUCGAGGAAGAGACACUGCUGGGAUGUUGGUUUUCUUGGUUCUCUCAGGACAACUUAGGAGAUUCGUAUGUGCACCACAUUGUCACCAACAGUUACAGAUUUCUUUCUUGAGAUGCCUUGGCUACUUUUUUUCUUUUCUUUUCUUUCAACUUAAUGAAUUGCCAGCAUUCUUUGUAUAGUUCUGCAUGGAUUCUGGUCAUAGAUGAUGAAUCGGUGUUCUUGUAAUUGUACUAGCAGGAAUGGGAUGGGCAGAACCCGACGCAGAUCGUCACGGAGAUGUGCGGUUUCGUGACGAUUCUUUCAGGGACAUUCCUGCUUCACAAGACGAAGGACAUGGCCGACGGUGGUACGUUAUGCUUCUCCGUCGAGGGUGUUGGUGUUGCAGUGCACACCAUACUUGAUCGAAGAGCUGAAAGCUUGUUUUUUUGUUGAUAGGUCUUGCGACAUCGCCGUCGCGAUUCCACAAGCAUGCCGAUGAGAACGGUUACACCUACGAAGGAAUUCCUCUCAAGUGUCAUGAGCCUUCGAGGGCGCCGUGAGGUGAGCCAACCAAGUACGCUCUCAGUCUAGCUUUUAACUACCAGAGAAUACAGCUGCCUGCAAUCAUUGGCUUAAAUGGCAUCAAACUGGCUCUUUGGAUGAUACCGAGGAAUCAGUGAACGCCAUGUCAAGAUAGAUUCCAAGCUUACUCUAAUUCUAGGCAUCUGAGUAGGUAUUUAUUUUUCGUUGAAGGACUGACUGGUAGUAGAUAGAUAAUCCAUGUUCUUUUGAGCUACUAUACCAGAAUUUCUUGGUGGGGGCAAUCUCCACCGUGACCUUCCCAAUGAAUUCUUGGCCUCUGCCACAGAAAGCAGAGAUAUCCCCACGAUUCCUGAUGCAUGCGAGCGGCUACGCCAUUCGUACGCCGACCAGCCAAGAAUAACUUCGAUUACUAUGUUCAUUAUGGAUCACAAAUCGUAUGACUAAUACCCGACUCGGUUCGGCCAGACCCACUUGCUUGGAUGAGUCCAAAUUAAGUGUCUCACAGAGCGUGGACCGCUCCAAACCCCUCUCACCACCUCCCCUUUAUCGACCCGCCCCUUCGUAAAGCAAAUCUUGUACUCAAACCCCCCACAUGAAUUCCUCCGGUGGGGAAUCGACGUCUCCUUUAGACCCACCUUUUUCUCCUUUAGGUUAUACACAUGUUGGUCUAGAAACUCCCUACGUUUGUAGUCGUCGUUGAUGAUGUCCGAUUCGAUCCGCUUCCAGGUGCAAAGAAUCAGGAAACUUGAAGUGACCAAUUUGACUUAGAACUUAUCGAUAUUGUUUGAUUCCUGACACGAUGACGAGUGGGGGAGUCGGUCGGGGCUAUCUGGACGAACCAGAUUGAACCAUCAUGUGAUAGGCAUUAUUGAGGUGUUUUUGAACUGCUUUGGAACGACAGGCUGUUCCAAAGAGACGAAAAUGGAGAUAAGGAUCCCGGAGAUGAAUUUUUAUACGGAGACUGGAGCAACACAGGUGUUGUAUAGUCACCAACAGUCCUUUUUGUCUACGUCGUAUCAUAUUACCCAAAAGAUGGGUCCACCAACACACGGGUUGUCAUACUAAGAUGUCCAGGUGUUCCGAACACAGAAGAAGAAGAAGAUGAUGAUGAUGUUGUAUAAAGAUUCUCAGCCAUUACGUGUACUCAUCCAAAUUAAAUCAGUGAUUCUGCAGAGAUCGGAUUGCUUACUUUAAUCGUAUUAUAAAACCACUGAGACGACUUUUAAUUGCCUACAUAUUGUCUCUGAAGUCAAUAUGUAGGUAGGCACACUACCAUACAGUGAUUGACUCUUUCUUAGGACUCGUCUCCCGUGGGAGUGGGAUUCGAUUUAUGUAUCCCUUCCGAGGAACGGCCACAGUAAACGACGGCAGUACAAUAGUGACAAAGCGUAGAGAGACUUGGCAGCUUCUGCGGCCUAUCAUCUUAGUAACUAGUCUUAAAUGGCCGGUAGAGAUUGAGGUCGGUGACGACUCCGGCGACGGACCCGAUGGCUGCGGCGAUGCUGACCGCGAGGCAGGCUAAGCUUAGCAUUUGCAGGCACACCCACCUGGUGCUCCACCUGGGGAUCCUCUGCCGCACAAUGUACAUCUCCACCGGGAAGUAGACGGUCAGCGGCCAGAAGCCGAGCGCGCCGAGCAGGCCCACCACGUCGUUGAAGAAGGGUAGCAGCAUCGAGAUGACGGUGGUCAGCACCACGAAGGAGGAGCGCCACACCAGGCGGAAGAGGCUGAGGUUGUAGCGCCGGGUCGGGGUGAGGGGGACCGCGAUCUCCUUGGCGAUGAAGGUGGACUCCGGCCACGUCUUGACCGCCCACUUCUCGAUGAAGGCGAAGAGGGGCUGGCAGAAGACCUGGUAGGCGCCGACCAGGUGGACGACGAUGGCGGCGUUGGCGAUGUUGAGGAGCCAGUAGGGGUUGUAGAAGCCGAAGCCGGUGAGGAGGUUGCCGGGCGCCGAGUCGCCGAACGCGGCGUAGCCCAUGCACCCGCACAGCAUGUAGAAGAGCGUGGUCACGACGAUGCUCAGUAGCGACGCCUUCUUCAUCACCUUCGCCUCCGACGGCGGUGGGGCUCUGAUGGUGUCCUGAAGGAACGACAGCAUGCCAGUGAAACCAAGGAACAGUUGCAAGAUCAAAGUCGAUCGAUCGAUCGAUCGAUUUAGCUCGCUAGACAGCCGAAACACACCUGGAUUUCGAUGAGCACGACCGAGAAGGAAUAGGCGAAGGCAAUGUCGCCCAAGGCCUUCAGGCUGCGCCAUAUCUUCUGUGUAGGGGAGAUGACGCCGAUGCUGAUUCCGGUAAGGCUGCCUUUGAAGCUUUUGUUGCCUGUAUGGAGUGAGACGAAAGCAUGACAGAAAGAGAAGGAUUAGGAUGCUUCAACCGAGUCGGUCAUAGGAGUCCGGUGAUGGAGGCGCACCGAUGACUUGGACGAUGCCGAGGGCGAGGCCGAUGGACGAGUAGGUGAAGGACAUGACCGCGGCGACGAUGGAGAGCCACCAUAUCUGAUCGAAGUCGGGGAUUUGCGACAAAAAAAUCUCCGCGACGCCGAACAUGAUCAUGUAAGGAUUGCUAGAGGUGAGGCAUGGGUUCUUGUGCCCUUUCUCGUGGAAGCAAUCGGACCUCUUGAUCGCCCUGUUUCCCGCAGCAAAAACAGAGCCACUCGUUUAGAAUGAGAAAGAAAGAAGCUUUCUCCCGGAACAAGAGUGAAAGCUCGUAUUGUUUGCACCCACUCACAUCAUGCUAAUGGAAGCGGCUAUGGUGUAGCCAAUGGCGACGCCGAAGAGGUUGGCGUACUGGAUGAAUCCACACAGCUUGACCUUUAGCCCACCUGUGUUGUUCGAGGCAAGAAGGGGAGGUAAGCACUCGGUCUACAACUGGCGGAAAGAUGUCACCUUGGCCAUGUCGUUUGCGCGAACUCACCGAGGUACGCGUGGACCGCAUCCGUGUAGUUGUAGUUGCGCUUCCCGUUGAUGGGGUCGCCGGAUCGGUAGCAGUCAGCGAGCAGAGUGGAGGUGUAGUACGUGACGAACGAGAAGAGGAACAUGACCACCGGGCCGGCGACCCAGCCGAGCUGCGCUAUGGUCCAGGCCAACGACAGCACGCCGGACCCGAUCACCGCCGUGACGAUGUGGGCGGUGGCCGUCCACACGGUCCCUGAAACCAAGGAAAAGCCCAAAACUUCCCUCCUUCAGACGACGAAAGCAAGAAUCUAGAGCGAAGAAGAAGCAAGAAGUUGACUAAAAAAACCAGUUUCGAUCUUUACCGGUCCUCUUGAGCCGCCCAUCGUCAUCGUAGCUCUUGGUGGCCCCCUGGAGCUGAUGCUCAUGGCCGAGCUCAACCGAGACAUCCAAGGGAGUAAAAGCCGGUGGUUGGUAACCCAUCUUGCGUCCAAAAACAGAGAAAACACAGCAAAGGUGAGACCUUUUUGCCUCACUAUUCUAAUGGCAGCAGAGAGAGAGAGAGAGAGAGAGAGAGAGAGAGAGAGAGGUGGAAGCUCCGGCACAAAGAAGUCACCUCUCCGUCGUAAAAAAACGAUCUUUUCUCCAGAAAAAGAGACAACUAAAGGAGAAACAAGCAAAAAGUGGCUCAGUUCGUGCUACAAAACCGAGGCAAUUACUACCGAGAAGAAGGAACAGAGGAGGUGUGGAAGGCAGUGAGGGAGAGUAGGUUGUUGGGUCGCGGCUUUAUAUAGAGGUGGGAAGGCAGCGAGAAGAAUCUAUCGAUAGAAGCACCAAAGGACAGCGUGCCGAUUGCCACGCUUUGACGAGGAGGUCAACGACGCGGCGUCGACCCCCAACCUCCACUACCACUCUCUACUCUGUAUCAGAGCCUAAUCUCUCCCUCUACCUGCUGCGAGCACCCCUUAAUGCGUCCACCACUGUUUCUAUCUCUUCCCCGUUAAAUCUCUUGCUUCCGACCUUUUCUUCCUCCUCGACAACGAUGCAUGCAUGCAAGCACCAAACUAGAGGCACAAAUUGAAUGGAGAAAAAGUGUCCAGAGAUCUCUUGCCUUGUGCAUCAACUUCACCGUGUUUCUUCAGUUGCUGCUGCUCUGAAAGCACAAGGGAGUUUAAUGAAGGAAGAGAGGAGAAGUGAUAGGACUGCUUAAUAUAUAGAGGAGAAUGAGAGAGCGAGGGAGAGAGAGAGAGGUCAUUAAUGGCUCUUCUUGUUGAGGGAUUGUGUGUUUCUGAUAAGAAAGAUGCCAUUGCCUGAGGUGUUAAAAUGAUAGUAGUAAUGAUAACAGUAACAAUAACAAAAAUGAUGGUAGAUAAAGCAAUUAAUUUGAGUGGAUCCUUCUUCUUAUUUGAUGGAAUCCGCUAUUUUGAUGCAUUAAUGAAAUUGAAAUCAGGAUAUUUUAUUUUUCUUCCUUUUUGUUCUAUUUUUCUGGAGAUUUUUCUUAUAUCAUAAAAAACAAUUGUUUUUUUACCACGACACAACUGUUGGUGUGUGGCCCGCUCUGGUACUCGCAUGGCAAUUCGGAGGGGAUGUGGGGCCCAUGCGGGACUCACAAACCUAGUCCUCGUCCAUCAGGGUAGGUAACGCGGGUACGAAAGGCUAGAAUUCUCUACUCGUGCAAAACGUAUGGUAUAAUUAGCCGACGCGUUGACCUUACGCCGCGUUGGGUGUCCAGAUGUGGGUCCCGCGGUCGGAGGUCAAGAAUCGAUUCUUUGGCGGAGGUAAAGACAAGGGGUUGGCGUAUCGACGUCGCUGUCCGUGGACACUGCACUUGGCGCCGCGAGGUCUAUGAUGUGAUUGGACCCUUUCUUUACCUACUGCUUUAGCUAAUCCUCCCUUAAUAUAUGCGAUUAGGUUUAGUGGCCUGACUAUUAAGGUUUUCCACAAAUAUUUAUUCUCUUUAAUCUAUUUAAUAGAUUUUCCAUAAACAUUAAUGUCUCAACGAAACACCGUCAAUAUCAAUCCCGAAACAUCAUCAUAAUCAUCAUCAUCGUAUUUUAAUUUAAUAUUUAUCGAACAUUUUUCUACCACUUUUAGGUUUUAUUGAAGCACUAAAGUAAGCAGCUAAUUCAUGGCAUAAAGGCAUGUGAUUUAUCUCUAACACAGCAGCCAUCUCACAUCCACUUAAUCUUUGUAGUGAGUGGUGCAACAGUGAAAGGCAUCACUUUGCUCUUUGCCUUUACCAACAAUCUUACUCCCAUUUGUGUAAGAGAUGUUUAUCUGCAUGCUAAACUCAUGUUUUGAUGCUAAAGCAACCUGCAAAGCCUAAUUGGUGCAAUGCAAUACAUCUCAGAAACAUCUUCUUGAAGAGAGUAAUCACAAAUCUACAUACACUACAUAAUUCACUAGAUUGUCCAAGAUAAAUCAUAAGCUGCUUGCAAGUUGUUUAUAUUCUCUCAUACAAAUCCAAUCAUGGAGAGGAUAAAAAAUACUGUUCAAACCAUCCAAGCAUUUGUUCAGAAAUAGAGGUUUGAUGAUGCCACAAGUCAAAAAGGUGUUCAGAUAUUCUGAUCUACUGUGCUUGAAAGUAACCAUAGGAAUCAUUUGACCACUGUUUUGUUCAUUAUGGUAAGUAGUCAUCAAACUUUUGGACAUCCUGUUAAGAACAUUAGUUGGAACACUUUGAUUGAUGGUUCCCUCAUGUCCAUCUCCUGCUAUGAAAUUAUCUGAAACUAUGUUAGAGGGGGGAAUCACUCUCUUAAACAACUAGUUUUUGUAGAUCUCAUUGUCAAGCAUCAAUCAUCCUUAUCUGAACAAAGAUCAAAUGUUUGUGCAAGAGAAGAUAAAUGUGUAGCUGCUGACAAGUUGCCAGUAUUUCUUCAGAACUCAACAACUGAGCCAGCCAGUAGAGGAUGCUACCAACUUUGCUAACCAAACCUCAAUAUUUAUGAUCCAAGUUCAAUGAGGGGUGCUGAAUAAUGUUAUGAUCUGGGAGCUUAAAGUUUAUUCAUGUCAUUAGACUUUGGAUGGCCCGCAGCACAUCAUUGACAAGAUUGUCAAGAUAACAUAAGCAUGAAAUUGAAGUUGUGCACUCAUAGAAGAACACAUCAACAGGAGAUGGAAGUGUAAGCAGCUAUUCAAGACUAAUUUGAUUGACUGCUUUUUCAGCUCUCAGUUUGUCAUGGAUUUGUGCAGAAUAAAAUAGAGGUUGGAUAUGAGGUGGGGGAUGCCAAAGUUCAAAAGGGGCAUCAGUUCUUCUGAACUAACUAUGCUUGAAAGCCACAGAGAAGGAAUCAUGCACUACCUUUGCUUUCACUCUGCAAUCCCUGUCAAGAAUAUGAAGAAGAGUUUACUAUGAAGAAGGAAGAAGCAAAUGCAAAGAGUUAAAACGUAUCUAAAUUUUUCUGAUGCAACACACCGUAUAAGGAAUUUUAAGCUCUUUAUUGUCUUUGAAGAGGUAUAAUUAACAUUGAAAAUUUGUAUCUUCCACCGGAUUUUUCUUAAGUGGUUAUUUUUUCGAACUUAAGAAGGAAAAUAUAGAUUUUUUGAGAAAAAAAUAUCGGAAGACGUUGUGGUGAAUGCCGAUGAAGUAUGAGUUAACCCAAUUUAAUUUGGAUGUAUAUGCAUAAGGAGUCUGUUGGACCGAACGAGGGAUUCAGAUAUUCAUUGGAUGAUUGAUCGAUAUAAAGACCGAAGUGAAGUGUGGUAUUCGUCGAGAUCCCUUCGAUGCUAUUAUUAAUUUUGAAUAAACAGUAAUCUCUAUUACCAUAAGACUUUUAUAAUAUAUUUAACCUAUUUUUUUAGUAUUUAUCUCAUGUCCUUACGUUGAUUAGGCUGUCAUAGAUUGUUUAUUGGCACCAAUAUUGCCCCUUUCAAGUGAUGAAUAACCUAAAAUAACA